GCGUACGCUCAACCACUGGACCACGGGGGCAUUUAAUUACCAUUAAGUAUUAUUUAUUGUAAUGGGUAAUACUGGUACUUUUUUCCCAGCAUUAAUACUACGUUUUAUGAUCGUUUUUAAACAGGCGCGCACAACGUGUUUAUAUGGAAAAAAUAGGUACUAUAAAACAGACGAUUAUUUUAAACAUAGCUAGCGAGUGGGUGUAAUAUACUAUACACCUGCCUACCCCUUUGGGGAUGCAAGCGUGAUAUUAUGUUAUGUUUUAAAAAGUACUAAUCACCUUAUCACCUUUUUACAAAUUAUGACAUUUUGCAAUGAGCCGACAAUGUUCAAUUAUAGUCAUUUGUGAAAGAUAUCAUUUGUACUUUAUCGGCGUAUAAAUACGAAUUGUAAAGGAAAUAUUGAGACAGUUCACAACAAUUCCAGUUGCCAGUAUAUCUACUGUAGCAAUAAAACAGUAGAAGCAACUUUCCGGAAGAAUGCGUCUUCUUGUAACACUAUCUAUAUUGGCUGUACUAUUCGUGGUAAGCCAAGCAAGAAAGUCGUAUAUAGAUCAUGGAUAUCCAGUGUGUGGCUGUCCGCCCUACGACGAACCAGUGUGCAGCACAGAUGGGAGGACGUACGAAAAUCAGUGCAGUUUGGACUGUGACUUUUUUUCACCUAUCAAGCCCAAAUUUGCACACAAAGGAAGAUGUUAACCCGUUUCAUCUCCGCACUUAGAACCAGUGCCGAAUUCAUACUGUCCACUCCACCUCAUCAACACCCAACCCACAUCAUUCACUUUACUCAUACCCGUUACCCACCCCAUAUCUCUCACCCACCCCAUAUCUCUCACCCACCCCAUAUCUCUCACCCACCCCAUAUCUCUCACCUACCCUAUAUCUCUCACUCACCCAUAUCUUUCGUCAAAACGAUCAUAUCCUAAUACAAUUUUCGCAGGCAA